GACGAACGCUGGCGGCGUGCCUAAUACAUGCAAGUCGAACGAACGGAUAAAGAGCUUGCUCUUUUGAAGUUAGUGGCGGACGGGUGAGUAACACGUGGGUAACCUGCCUCACAGCUGGGGAUAACAUCGAGAAAUCGAUGCUAAUACCGAAUGUGCUGAACAUCAUAAGAUGUUCAAGUGAAAGACGGUUUCGGCUGUCACUGUGAGAUGGACCCGCGCUGGAUUAGCUAGUUGGUAAGGUAAUGGCUUACCAAGGCGACGAUCCAUAGCCGACCUGAGAGGGUGAUCGGCCACAUUGGGACUGAGACACGGCCCAAACUCCUACGGGAGGCAGCAGUAGGGAAUCUUCGGCAAUGGACGAAAGUCUGACCGAGCAACGCCGCGUGAGCGAAGAAGGCCUUCGGGUCGUAAAGCUCUGUUGUUAGAGAAGAACAUGGGUGAGAGUAACUGUUCACCACUUGACGGUAUCUAACCAGAAAGCCACGGCUAACUACGUG
rnacentral:rRNA from 1 species